ACUCCUACGGGUGGCUGCAGCAGGGAAUCUUGGGCAAUGGGCGAAAGCCUGACCCAGCGACGUCGCGUGGGGGACGAAGGCCUUAGGGUUGUAAACCCCUUUUCCGAGGGAAGAUACAGGACGGUACCUCGGGAAUAAGCCCCGGCUAACUACGUGCCAGCAGCCGCGGUAAUACGUAGGGGGCGAGCGUUACCCGGAUUUACUGGGCGUAAAGUGCGCGUAGGCGGUUGGAUAAGUCUCUUGUGAAAGCUCCCGGCUCAACUGGGAGAGGUCAAGGGAUACUAUUCGACUAGAGGACAGCAGAGGUAAGCAGAAUUCCCGGUGUAGCGGUGGAAUGCGUAGAUAUCGGGAGGAACACCAGUGGCGAAAGCGGCUUACUGGGCUGUAUCUGACGCUGAGGCGCGAGAGCGUGGGGAGCAAACUGGAUUAGAUACCCAGGUAGUCCACGCCCUAAACGAUGGAUACUAGGUAUGGGGGGGUAUUGACCCCCUCCGUGCCGUAGCUAACGCGUUAAGUAUCCCGCCUGGGGACUACGGCCGCAAGGCUAAAACUCAAAGGAAUUGACGGGGGCCCGCACAAGCGGUGGAGCGUGUGGUUUAAUUCGAUGCUAAGCGAAGAACCUUACCUAGGCUUGACAUGUUGGUAGUAGAAAUCCGAAAGGAUGACGACCUCGGGGUAACUCGGGGAGCCAUCACAGGUGCUGCAUGGCUGUCGUCAGCUCGUGUCGUGAGAU
rnacentral:rRNA from 1 species